UACGGAGGGGGCUAGCGUUGUUCGGAAUUACUGGGCGUAAAGGGCGCGUAGGCGGCCUGCUAAGUCGGACGUGAAAUCCCCCGGCUCAACCGGGGGAACUGCGUCCGAUACUGCUGUGGCUUGAGUCCGGUAGGGGAGCAUGGAACUCCUGGUGUAGCGGUGGAAUGCGCAGAUAUCAGGAAGAACACCAACGGCGAAGGCGGGUCUCUGGGCAGUAACUGACGCUGAGGAGCGAAAGCGUGGGGAGCGAACAGG
rnacentral:rRNA from 1 species